AACGAACGCUGGCGGCAGGCUUAACACAUGCAAGUCGAACGCCCCGCCAGGGGAGUGGCAGACGGGUGAGUAACGCGUGGGAAUCUACCCAUCCCUACGGAAUAACGCAUGGAAACGUGUGCUAAUACCGUAUACGCCCUACGGGGGAAAGAUUUAUUGGGGAUGGAUGAGCCCGCGUUGGAUUAGCUAGUUGGUGGGGUAAAGGCCUACCAAGGCGACGAUCCAUAGCUGGUCUGAGAGGAUGAUCAGCCACAUUGGGACUGAGACACGGCCCAAACUCCUACGGGAGGCAGCAGUGGGGAAUAUUGGACAAUGGGCGCAAGCCUGAUCCAGCCAUGCCGCGUGAGUGAUGAAGGCCUUAGGGUUGUAAAGCUCUUUCACCGGAGAAGAUAAUGACGGUAUCCGGAGAAGAAGCCCCGGCUAACUUCGUG
rnacentral:rRNA from 1 species